CCUACGGGUGGCAGCAGUGGGGAAUAUUGGGCAAUGGGCGCAAGCCUGACCCAGCAACGCCGCGUGAAGGAAGAAGGCUUUCGGGUUGUAAACUUCUUUUCUCAGGGACGAAGCAAGUGACGGUACCUGAGGAAUAAGCCACGGCUAACUACGUGCCAGCAGCCGCGGUAAUACGUAGGUGGCAAGCGUUAUCCGGAUUUACUGGGUGUAAAGGGCGUGUAGGCGGGAAAGCAAGUCAGAUGUGAAAACCAUGGGCUCAACCUGUGGCCUGCAUUUGAAACUGUUUUUCUUGAGUACUGGAGAGGCAGACGGAAUUCCUAGUGUAGCGGUGAAAUGCGUAGAGAUUAGGAGGAACACCAGUGGCGAAGGCGGUCUGCUGGACAGCAACUGACGCUGAGGCGCGAAAGCGUGGGGAGCAAACAGGAGUAGAUACCCGUGUAGUC
rnacentral:rRNA from 1 species